rnacentral:sRNA from 1 species
GCGGACCUUUUCGCCGCCUUAGCAAGCGGGCACCGGAUUCAGGAAGGGAUAUCCAAUGGCCGUUAACGCAAGUGCAUCUCAGCACUUGCAUUCACGGUUUCAUCUCCGGUGGUGGCACCGUGAAGCGGUCUGUUGCAAGGACCGCGCAAUGAAACGAUACCUGCGUAUUGUUCUCGUUGUCUCUGCCGCGCUGCUGUUAGCCGGAACCGGGGGCUGGAGCAUCUCCAAUAACUCGAUUUCAGUGAUCAUCAACAUGGCAGGCAAGUAAGCCGGUGGCCGCCCGGCAACGGGCGGCUCACUU